UUAAUUUUUUGUUAUAUAUAUAUAAACUGUGUAUUAGUGGUGUUCAACUUAAGCAUGGGAAAAUGUGAAUUUUGGUUUAACCUGAAAAUUGGGGAUUUUUUUUUUUUUUUUUAAAUCAGAGGAAACCAGGAUCCCUGCCGCAUCUCGCAGCUCCUCAGGCAGCUGAGUGCUCCCAAACCCACAGGCACUGGCUGCGCCACGCCGGCUGCGGGAGCCUUGGAAGCAGCCCUGCCGUGUCCCGCUGCAGACAGCCUUGCCCUGAUUACAGUUCAAGUGCUUCAGAGGGGAAGGCUGGUGCAGGCAGGCUUGUGAGCAAGGGCCGAGAGCUAGACGGCCUAGCUUGACUUCAAUGAACUUUUGGGUGUUCACCUGAGAUCAAGCCACCUGUUUGCAGUCCUCCAGUAUCCCAGGAGGCACUGCUCCCAGGUGGGCUAGCUAUCAUCCAGCCCUGGACUGACACCUGGAAAAAGGAAUCACAGCAGUUGUCAGCAGCAGCGGCAAACGAAGCAUCCUUCUCCCAGCAGCUGCAAUCUUCCAUCUCCCUCUCUCAGAUGGCCUGCCGGCACUAGCCCUUGGGAAGAACAUGUCUAAGCAAAUGGCUGGGGAGAGCUGAUGUUUCCAGGGUGAAAUGGACCAAACUGCAGGAUCCAGGUGCUGAAGUGUGUCAAAAAGCCCCAGAGCUAGGGACAAUGGUCAGUCACUGUUCCGACACAGCAAACUUAGCGGUACAUGUGAUUCAUUGGCUGGAUUUCAUCACAGGUGGAGAUACUAGGAAUAGGCUGGGACAAUGCACAGAUACAAAAAUGGCCUGCCACCUUGUACUUACCUAAGGUGAGAUUUUCUUUUCUUUUUUUGACUGGAGAGUAAAACAUUUGGAUUUUUUUUAUCAUCAUCAAUUAUUGUAGUAAAUAGACUUUGUGCCUAGAUGGUAAAUCUUUAUGCCAGUGUUUUAAUGAAAGCCUAAAUUGCAGCAUAAAUCACAUUAUAGGCAA